rnacentral:rRNA from 1 species
GAAGGCUAUGUUGGCCGGGCGACGGUUGUCCCGGUUUAAGCGUGUAGGCUGGUUUUCCAGGCAAAUCCGGAAAAUCAAGGCUGAGGCGUGAUGACGAGGCACUACGGUGCUGAAGCAACAAAUGCCCUGCUUCCAGGAAAAGCCUCUAAGCAUCAGGUAACAUCAAAUCGUACCCCAAACCGACACAGGUGGUCAGGUAGAGAAUACCAAGGCGCUUGAGAGAACUCGGGUGAAGGAACUAGGCAAAAUGGUGCCGUAACUUCGGGAGAAGGCACGCUGAUAUGUAGGUGAAGUCCCUUGCGGAUGGAGCUGAAAUCAGUCGAAGAUACCAGCUGGCUGCAACUGUUUAUUAAAAACACAGCACUGUGCAAACACGAAAGUGGACGUAUACGGUGUGACGCCUGCCCGGUGCCGGAAGGUUAAUUGAUGGGGUCAGCGCAAGCGAAGCUCUUGAUCGAAGCCCCGGUAAACGGCGGCCGUAACUAUAACGGUCCUAAGGUAGCGAAAUUCCUUGUCGGGUAAGUUCCGACCUGCACGAAUGGCGUAAUGAUGGCCAGGCUGUCUCCACCCGAGACUCAGUGAAAUUGAACUCGCUGUGAAGAUGCAGUGUACCCGCGGCAAGACGGAAAGACCCCGUGAACCUUUACUAUAGCUUGACACUGAACAUUGAGCCUUGAUGUGUAGGAUAGGUGGGAGGCUUUGAAGUGUGGACGCCAGUCUGCAUGGAGCCGGCCUUGAAAUACCACCCUUUAAUGUUUGAUGUUCUAACGUGGACCCGUGAUCCGGGUUGCGGACAGUGUCUGGUGGGUAGUUUGACUGGGGCGGUCUCCUCCUAAAGAGUAACGGAGGAGCACGAAGGUUGGCUAAUCCUGGUCGGACAUCAGGAGGUUAGUGCAAUGGCAUAAGCCAGCUUGACUGCGAGCGUGACGGCGCGAGCAGGUGCGAAAGCAGGUCAUAGUGAUCCGGUGGUUCUGAAUGGAAGGGCCAUCGCUCAACGGAUAAAAGGUACUCCGGGGAUAACAGGCUGAUACCGCCCAAGAGUUCAUAUCGACGGCGGUGUUUGGCACCUCGAUGUCGGCUCAUCACAUCCUGGGGCUGAAGUAGGUCCCAAGGGUAUGGCUGUUCGCCAUUUAAAGUGGUACGCGAGCUGGGUUUAGAACGUCGUGAGACAGUUCGGUCCCUAUCUGCCGUGGGCGCUGGAGAACUGAGGGGGGCUGCUCCUAGUACGAGAGGACCGGAGUGGACGCAUCACUGGUGUUCGGGUUGUCAUGCCAAUGGCACUGCCCGGUAGCUAAAUGCGGAAGAGAUAAGUGCUGAAAGCAUCUAAGCACGAAACUUGCCCCGAGAUGAGUUCUCCCUGACCCUUUAAGGGUCCUGAAGGAACGUUGAAGACGACGACGUUGAUAGGCCGGGUGUGUAAGCGCAGCGAUGCGUUGAGCUAACCGGUACUAAUGAACCGUGAGGCUUAACCUUACAACGCCGAA